rnacentral:lncRNA from 1 species
GUGGUACUUCUAAACUUCGUGGAAGAGCCCUGUUUCAUAAAUCUGAGACAGCCUUGGUCUGAGGGAGCAAAGACAGAGAAUUCACGUGCUGCCCAGGCAUAGCCACAUAGCAGGUGGACAUCCCUGGACACUUUUCUGACCCUCAUUGGAUUUUCCUGGAAGUACGGAGAGUUACAUCCAGAGAACUCUGAACAUUUUGGAAGGACCCCAAUCCUGCAAACAAUGAAUGGCAAUAAAUCCUGGGACUGGAAAGGUAUGAGGACCUCCAAGUAACCAUUGAGUUAAAAUUCCUUUACAUUAAAAACACACAAUAUAUGAAAUCAUUACAAAUCCCUGUGUCAAUUUGUUCUUUCAGGUUCAUAGAAGGCAUUUGUAAAUCUAUGACUAAAAGUAAAGUGAGAAGAUGUGAGUUUAAUAAGGAAAUGAUAGUCAAGUUUAUUAAAGCAAUAAUAUUACUUAUGUAUUGGUAUAAGUUUCCUAGACUACUUUUGUAAGAUGUGGAAUAUUUUGAAAGUUUGGAAUUUAACAAAUACUAAAAUUAAAUGAAAAGAUGGUUUUAUAUUUUAGGCUGAGACAUGUGAUUGUGCUAAGGUUGUGUGUUAAUAGGGACACCUUGACCUUCAUGCUUCCUUACUAUCACUUGCUUCUGUCUUGUACUUUUGGACCACUUAGGGAUGGAAAGAGGAGACCCUAGAGAUAUGGGGUGCUAACCACUCCUCCCUUUCCCAACCCCAUCUAUUAAAAAUAAUUGAAUUGCCACUCAUAUAAUAAUCAGAGAUGUUCAAAUUUGCCUAUUAAACAAAGACCUCUCCAACUGGGAAUAAUCUGAAGAAGUUCAGGAGUUUGUGUGAGGUGGGCAGGCACAGGAUGUUUUUACUUCAAACAGACAUCCUUAUACCUUCCAUUUGUGUGUUGCUAAAUGUCACCACUGUACUUUGCGUUUCUUUUCUUCCUUCCAGGGGCUUCUCAACCCCAAGGCAACCAUAAAGUCCUAUACAAAGAAAGAUACAGCAGUGUGAAAGAGGCCUGGAUGAAAAAACAAAGACAGAGCCAGUGAGCCAGAGCCAGAGCCAGAGGACAAGAGAGAAAGGCAGAGAAUGGAAAACACAGACAGAGAAGGCAGAUGCGUAGAGAGACAGAGAUUCAAUGAGAAAAUAAGGAAGGAAGAAAGAA